rnacentral:rRNA from 1 species
AUUGAACGCUGGCGGAAUGCUUUACGCAUGCAAGUCGAACGGUAGAGGGGGCAACCCCUCGAGAGUGGCGAACGGGUGAGUAAUAUAUCGGAACGUGCCCAGUCGUGGGGGAUAACGUAGCGAAAGUUACGCUAAUACCGCAUACGAUCUAAGGAUGAAAGCGGGGGAUCGCAAGACCUCGCGUGAUUGGAGCGGCCGAUAUCAGAUUAGGUAGUUGGUGGGGUAAAGGCUCACCAAGCCAACGAUCUGUAGCUGGUCUGAGAGGACGACCAGCCACACUGGAACUGAGACACGGUCCAGACUCCUACGGGAGGCAGCAGUGGGGAAUUUUGGACAAUGGACGCAAGUCUGAUCCAGCCAUUCCGCGUGCAGGAUGAAGGCCCUCGGGUUGUAAACUGCUUUUGUACGGAACGAAAAGGUCUCUCUUAAUACGGGGGACUCAUGGCGGUACCGUAAGAAUAAGCACCGGCUAACUACGUGCCAGCAGCCGCCGCGG